CCUACGGGCGGCAGCAGUGAGGAAUAUUGGUCAAUGGCCGGAAGGCUGAACCAGCCAAGCCGCGUGAAGGACGAAGGUGCCAAGCAUUGUAAACUUCUUUUGUCAAGGGACAAAAUCAGGCUCGAGAGCCUGACCGAGGGUACUUGAAGAAAAAGCAUCGGCUAACUCCGUGCCAGCAGCCGCGGUAAUACGGAGGAUGCGAGCGUUAUCCGGAUUUAUUGGGUUUAAAGGGUGCGCAGGCGGAUUUUUAAGUCAGCGGUCAAAUCGUGGGGCUCAACCCCAUCCAGCCGUUGAAACUGGGGAUCUAGAGUGUGCGAGAGGUAUGCGGAAUGCGUGGUGUAGCGGUGAAAUGCAUAGAUAUCACGCAGAACCCCGAUUGCGAAGGCAGCAUACCGGUGCACAACUGACGCUCAGGCACGAAAGCGUGGGUAUCGAACAGGAUUAGAUACCCCAGUAGUC
rnacentral:rRNA from 1 species